AGCGAACGCUGGCGGCAGGCUUAACACAUGCAAGUCGAGCGGGCACUCUCGGGUGUCAGCGGCGGACGGGUGAGUAACGCGUGGGAACGUGCCCUCUGGUUCGGAAUAACUCAGGGAAACUUGAGCUAAUACCGGAUACGCCCUUUUGGGGAAAGGCUUGCUGCCGGAGGAUCGGUCCGCGUCUGAUUAGCUAGUUGGUGAGGUAACGGCUCACCAAGGCGACGAUCAGUAGCUGGUCUGAGAGGAUGAUCAGCCACACUGGGACUGAGACACGGCCCAGACUCCUACGGGAGGCAGCAGUGGGGAAUAUUAGGCAAUGGGCGCAAGCCUGAUCCAGCCAUGCCGCGUGAGUGAUGAAGGCCUUAGGGUUGUAAAGCUCUUUUAUCCGGGACGAUAAUGACGGUACCGGAGGAAUAAGCCCCGGCUAACUCCGUG
rnacentral:rRNA from 1 species